AGAGGAAGACUUGAGUGUGAUGGUUGAAGGAAGACAGCAUGUGCCAGCAGUGUGAGCUCACAGCCCAGAAAGCCAGAUGGAAUCCUGGGCUGCACCAAAAGGAGCAUGGCCAGCAGGUCAAAGGAGGAAAUAAUAAAGCUAGAAAUAUUGUAUACCAGAAGACUGUACAACAGUUACAGAAGAGAAGAUGGAAAAGACACUGGAUCAAACUAUUUUUACCAAAAAUGGGCACAUGUUUUUGCAAGUUUGGUCCAAUUACCUACUGGAUCAGAUCUACUUUCAGAGAACAAUUUUAUAAAGCUCCACUGCCUUUUUGACAUUACAUAUAUCCUCUCCCUGAAAGUCUUUGUUCUUCCAAGUACUAGGUGUUACUAGAUUAACUCUUCACAAAUGAAAGCAGUGUACUUCAUCCUUAGAGAUGAAAGACCUGAGAAAUAAUACCAUGGAGUUGUCUUUAAUGCAUAUUUGGAAAGAUACACAGGAAAAAAUAUUUCAUACCUCAAAAAAAAGGCUUGCAUACUUCCUAAAACAUGACACAUUAAGUUGUUAAUCAAUGCAAAAGCACAGACCUAAUAAAAUGGGAAAUGAUAUCUCAAAAGACAA